rnacentral:tRNA from 1 species
GCAGUGAUGGUUCAGUGGUAGAAUACACGCCUUGCAUGAGGGCGACCUGGGUUCGAUUCCCAGCCAGCGCA